UGCUACUGCUUCCCUGCUGUCCAGACAGGGCUCCCACAGAGCAGAGAUACAGCCACAGAUUCCCAGCUGCAAAACUGAGCUGGCAAAAUCAGUUAGGAGGCUCGGCCAGAAGAGAAGCCUGCAGAAAUAUAGCAGGAUAAACAUAACUAGACCAAGAUGGAAGGAGGCGGCUUUAGAAGAUGCAAAAGCAGGAAGCAGAGAGAGAGAGAAAGAAAGGAAAACCAUCCUCAGCACGAAGGACCACUGCAAGGAAAAGCACAGGAAGCCAUAAACAUAAUUGCUGGCUGGCAAGAACUGCCUGUCACGUCCUUCUCGUGGAGUCUCCCUUUGCUGGUAAUAGAACAGCACCACAAAAUAACUGGAAGGGAGGGCCCUGUUUAUUUACCUUGUAAUUAGGACGUGCCGGGAAAUGCUUAAUAUAAAAUGACACUUGAAAGGGAAUAAAUUACCAAAUGUCACAAUAGACAACUGCCUCGGAAUAGCAUGUCCUGCUUCCCAGGCAGCUGAGUCCCAUGUGGUGGAAGAA